rnacentral:lncRNA from 1 species
AUAUUUUACAAACUCAAUUAAAUCAUUUAAGGGAUUAAUUAAUGAUUACCUUUUUAGAAUUUGCAUAACAAUUUCGUUUAAACCAUAUUACAACUAUUGGAUGACAAUAGUAAUUAACGUCAACUUAAAUAGAAACUCAAUGCACGAUAUCUAAGCCUAAGACAAGGUAAUCUAAAAUCAGUUGACAGUCAAAAUGCUUAGGUAACAUAUUUGUACUGAGAUGGAAAAUCAAAUCCGACUUUUACACAUAAAAUCUGGAUUCGACAAAAUCACAACUUCAUGUGACAAAUUGAGAAACUGGAAUAGGAUACCCCUAACUGUCCCUCUGUUGCCAUAUGUGCUGGUUCAAGGCGAAAGGAGAGUAUAAUUUCACCUCAAUAUUUUGCCCUGAUGGGAUAUUAAUUAUGGUAAAUUAAUCCCAAAUAACAUAUCAAGUCAUUUGGCGAGGCACCUAAAGUAGGCAAGAAAAACACCAUAACUUGAAAUCAAUUUGCAGUCAAUCUCCAUAAUCCCCAAGAAUGAACAAAAUUAAUCAGUCUCGACCCAAGAGGAGAGUCAUUCAACCCCUCAUCAAGAUAUGGACAGAGUCCCUCGCAAGAACAAUCGAAGAAGUAAGUAAUGGCGCAGAUUCAGCAAAUUUCUUGACUUAAUUAUGGAUCUAUAAUAGAGAUGAUCGGCUUCCAACGGGAAAGUACGACAACGGAAUUGGGGCGGCAUCGGACUUUUUCUUCAUUUUCUCUGAACCACUUUUUUGCACCUUGCUGGACUUGUUUUGACUGCUCCCAUCUUCUCCUUCGCACCCAACCCUUCUAGAAUACGAAAAGCAAGCAACAAAGGAGGACAAGAAAGCCAUGGUAAUCGUUUUUUCGCUCAAGCUCAAAGAUGAAAUUGAUGAAUUUUUAGUAGUAGCAGUACAGUGCUGCUUAAUUUCUUCAAACUGAUGUGACGAGGUCGAAUGUU